UUAUGCAGAAAUAAAGAAUGUGAGCCCUCAGAGAGAGGACUGCAGAGAAACAACUUACAACUGCCCUACAGGACACAGAGAGAGGGGGUCCAGGGCUCUCAGGAAACAGAACGCAUGCUGCUCUGCAGCUGGAACCUUACUGAUCUUCUGUUCUGGCUGCACGGAAACUAACUAAAUUUCGAAAGUUUUCUGUGUUUUUUAUGAAGAACUUCCAGACUGCAAAGGCACUGCCAGCCAGAACCAGCAGCGACACCAGCACUCCCACCACUAUCCCAGCCACUGCUCCAGCAGAGCGUACUGCAGAGAACAUGGAGACAGAGGGACUCAUUUGGGAGAAAUAGAGAAGAGCAGCAGCCAUAACUCAGAGGAAUAACAGAGUGGACCAAUAAGAUGCUGAGCCCUGCAUCUGCACAAACACAAAGAACUGAAGAGGAGGACCAUACCUGAGACUUCCAGAGAGACAGAGCCGAUGGUCCUGUUGGUCUCAGGAUUGGUCACCUUGUAGACUCCAGCAUCCUCCAGUGUCACACUCCUCAGCAAAAGGGUGUAGUUCUGGGCCAGAAGCUCACAUCUCUGAGCACAACGCUCCCCAUACCUGGCUGGGCCUUUAUUUGCAUCGAGCAUCAGCACCUCAUCUGAACCAAGGCCUGCACUGAAUGUUACCCUCACUGGGUCUGCGGUAUAGAGCGGUAUGGAGAGCAAACCACCGGCCUUCACUGUGAGGUUCUGGGGUGGGUGGCCUGU